GUGCUUGCUUUGGCAGCACAUACACUAAAAUUGGAAUGAUACAGAAGAUUAGCAUGGCCCCUGCUCAAGGAUGACAUGCAAACUGGUAAAGCAUUCCAUAUUAAA
ensembl:snRNA U6 U6 spliceosomal RNA